rnacentral:rRNA from 1 species
UACGAGGGGGGCGAGCGUUGUUCGGAAUUAUUGGGCGUAAAGGGUGCGUAGGCGGUUCGGUAAGUUUCGUGUGAAAUCUUCGGGCUCAACUCGAAGCCUGCACGAGAUACUGCCGGGCUUGAGUGUGGGAGAGGUGAGUGGAAUUCCGAGUGUAGAGGUGAAAUUCGUAGAUAUUCGGAAGAACACCAGUGGCGAAGGCAGUGGGCUGGGCCGGCACUGACGCUGAGGAGCGAAAGCGUGGGGAGCGAACAGG